UAGGGAAUCUUCCACAAUGGACGCAAGUCUGAUGGAGCAACGCCGCGUGAGUGAAGAAGGUUUUCGGAUCGUAAAGCUCUGUUGUUGGUGAAGAAGGAUAGAGGCAGUAACUGGUCUUUAUUUGACGGUAAUCAACCAGAAAGUCACGGCUAACUACGUGCCAGCAGCCGCGGUAAUACGUAGGUGGCAAGCGUUGUCCGGAUUUAUUGGGCGUAAAGCGAGCGCAGGCGGAAUGAUAAGUCUGAUGUGAAAGCCCACGGCUCAACCGUGGAACUGCAUCGGAAACUGUCAUUCUUGAGUGCAGAAGAGGAGAGUGGAAUUCCAUGUGUAGCAGUGGAAUGCGUAGAUAUAUGGAAGAACACCAGUGGCGAAGGCGGCUCUCUGGUCUGCAACUGACGCUGAGGCUCGAAAGCAUGGGUAGCGAACAGG
rnacentral:rRNA from 1 species